AACGAACGCUGGCGGCAGGCUUAACACAUGCAAGUCGAGCGCCCCGCAAGGGGAGCGGCAGACGGGUGAGUAACGCGUGGGAACGUACCCUUUGCUACGGAAUAGCUCCGGGAAACUGGAAUUAAUACCGUAUGUGCCCUACGGGGGAAAGUGUUAUCGGCAAAGGAUCGGCCCGCGUUGGAUUGGCUAGUUGGUGGGGUAAUGGACUAACAAGGCGACGAUCCAUAGCUGGUCUGAGAGGAUGAUCAGCCACAUUGGGACUGAGACACGGCCCAAACUCCUACGGGAGGCAGCAGUGGGGAAUAUUGGACAAUGGGCGCAAGCCUGAUCCAGCCAUGCCGCGUGAGUGAUGAAGGCCUUAGGGUUGUAAAGCUCUUUCACCGGAGAAGAUAAUGACGGUAUCCGGAGAAGAAGCCCCGGCUAACUUCGUGCCAGCCGCCGCAGUAACAC
rnacentral:rRNA from 1 species